GAGGCCCAGGCUGACCUUCUGCCGCGGGGAGCUCUAGAGAAUGCGUUGAAGGGUCAUGCCAGCAGCAUCAGACAAAUCCACAGAGAACAGGUCGUCCCUAUGGAGCAGGCCAUGAAAUUUGUCCGAGCGCGG